rnacentral:rRNA from 1 species
UGCCAGCCGCCGCGGUAAUACGGAGGGUGCAAGCGUUGUCCGGAUUUAUUGGGUUUAAAGGGUACGUAGGUGGCCUAUUAAGUCAGUAAUGAAAUUUUGCAGCUUAACUGUAAAACUGCCAUUGAUACUGGUAGGCUUGAGUACUGUUGAGGCAGGCGGAAUUUAUGGUGUAGCAGUGAAAUGCAUAGAUACCAUAAAGAACACCAAUAGCAAAGGCAGCUUGCUAAGCAGUAACUGACACUAAUGUACGAAAGCGUGGGUAGCAAACAGAAUUAGAUA